rnacentral:ncRNA from 17 species
UACCUUGUGCUCGCCGAAGGUAUCCAUCUCUUCAUGCCGAUGAAGGGAUGGGUUUAAACGGGAAUCCGGUGCCGGUGCCUUGUGCACCCAUUCCGGAGCUGCCCCGCAGCGGUGAAUGGAAACGACACCUGCCAACAGCACUGGGCUUUGCAGCCUGGGAAGCGGCAGGGAGUAGGUGGGCGUUCGCGCCCGUGUCCAUCAGCCCGAAUACCGGCCCCGGCCGGAGGACACGAC